rnacentral:rRNA from 1 species
AUUGAACGCUGGCGGCAGGCUUAACACAUGCAAGUCGAGCGGAGAUGAGGUGCUUGCACCUUAUCUUAGCGGCGGACGGGUGAGUAAUGCUUAGGAAUCUGCCUAUUAGUGGGGGACAACAUUCCGAAAGGAAUGCUAAUACCGCAUACGUCCUACGGGAGAAAGCAGGGGAUCUUCGGACCUUGCGCUAAUAGAUGAGCCUAAGUCGGAUUAGCUAGUUGGUGGGGUAAAGGCCUACCAAGGCGACGAUCUGUAGCGGGUCUGAGAGGAUGAGCCGCCACACUGGGACUGAGACACGGCCCAGACUCUUACGGGAGGCAGCAGUGGGGAAUAUUGGACAAUGGGGGGAACCCUGAUCCAGCCGUGCCGCGUGUGUGAAGAAGGCCUUAUGGUUGUAAAGCACUUUAAGCGAGGAGGAGGCUACUGAGACUAAUACUCUUGGAUAGUGGACGUUACUCGCAGAAUAAGCACCGGCUAACUCUGUGCCAGCCGCCGCGGUAA